UACGGGGGGAGCAAGCGUUGUUCGGAUUUACUGGGCGUAAAGGGCGCGUAGGCGGUCAGCACAAGUCAGUUGUGAAAUCUCCGGGCUUAACCCGGAAAGGUCAACUGAUACUGUGCGACUAGAGUGCGGAAGGGGCAACUGGAAUUCUCGGUGUAGCGGUGAAAUGCGUAGAUAUCGAGAGGAACACCGGUGGCGAAGGCGGGUCUCUGGGCCGGACCUGACGCUGAGACGCGAAAGCGUGGGGAGCGAACGGG
rnacentral:rRNA from 1 species